rnacentral:rRNA from 1 species
UACGGGGGGGGUAAGCGUUGUUCGGAAUUACUGGGCGUAAAGGGCUCGUAGGCGGCCAACUAAGUCAGACGUGAAAUCCCUCAGCUUAACUGGGGAACUGCGUCUGAUACUGGAUGGCUUGGAUUCGGGAGAGGGAUGCGGAAUUCCAGGUGUAGCGGUGAAAUGCGUAGAUAUCUGGAGGAACACCGGUGGCGAAGGCGGCAUCCUGGACCGACAUUGACGCUGAGGAGCGAAAGCCAGGGGAGCAAACGGG